GACUGCAGCGAAUCCAGGCCGGUGCCAGCAGCGGCUUCUUUCUCAAGAUAAUUGCUAUCCACUGGGAUAAAGCUCAAUAUCCAGUUCAGGAAAUGGGAAACACUGAUAUAUGACUCAUCCCAUGGAACAGAAUAUAGUCUACGUGGAAUGUCACACUGUGCUUCUAGUGGCAAAGUUUGCAUAUAUGUAUGUAUCAGUGUAUCUUUAAAUUUGCCUUUGUGUUGCAAGCACUUGUUAUAUCCUUCCUAUUAUUCCUAUUAUUUAAAUCAAUUUUUAUUUUGCAAGACUACUGGUAAAGAUUUUGGAAUGAAAUGUUUCUGGGGAACCGAGUCACCCUAAUUUAAAAAAUAAAAAUAUCUCAGUAAUUUGGACAAUAGGUUUAAUGUAUGAGGUUAAAUAUAUACCUGCUUAUUAUAAAUAUGCAGAAUCAUUUCUUGUUUAGAAAAUAUUUCAAAUAUUUUAUGGAAUAAUUACAGAUUAUUUGUGUUCAGUUGGCAAUGUUCUAGCCGAACAACUUAUAAUUAAAAAUGUAAAUAAAGAAGUGUCAUUAGUCUAAAAACUUGCAGUUCAUUUUUGCUACAACUUCACUUCAAUUUUGCCCUUUUUGCAACUGCAAUUGCCCCUUCAAUUCGCCAUUUACAACUGCAAUUCAAAUCAAGAUUCUUUAAGUUUUGCUCUUAUACUGAUUUAUCCCACUUAUCUUGCUUUGCUUAACUCAAAUUUGGAUAAUAGGUUUCUGCUCAGCGUUGUUCCUCAUCUGCUUCUGGCUCACACAAAAUUUCAGGACAGUGUUGUCACCUUGACAUGUGAAACCAAGGUCUUGCUCCUUUCCUACACCAGCGGCUAGACCUCUGAGUUCUAAAUCCCUUUCCAGAUUCAUUCAGUCCAGCUCUUCCAGGAGUAGGUAAAUCUUUCCUGAGUUUACCUACUGAUGUUUAACACUAUAUGUUACUACCUCCACAUGCCUUUCCACUGGACUCGCUACUUCAUGUCAUAAAAAUCUUUGGAUGCUUUUACUAUGUCUGAAUAACUUCCCAUCACUCAACUGAAAAAAUCCACAAAUUAGAUUGACUUCUGGGUUCCAGCAAUUCAGGCUUACCUGGGCUUUUGUGAACCAAGUUUUUAAUCUUAUGUCAUCCUGAAAUAACAUACAAAGCAAAUAUGUAUUCCACCACUUUUCAUAUGUGUCUGGGACGUAUUCAUAGUCAUCACUGAGUAUAUUUUGGGAUUCAAAAUUUUCCUUUUCAUUACUGUAAUAAUCUUAAG
rnacentral:lncRNA from 10 species